GAUGAAGAACGUAGCGAAAUGCGAUAAGUAAUGUGAAUUGCAGAAUUCAGUGAAUCAUCGAGUCUUUGAACGCACAUUGCGCCCCCUGGUAUUCCGGGGGGCAUGCCUGUCCGAGCGUCAUUGCUGCCCUCAAGCACGGCUUGUGUGUUGGGCCCCCGUCCCCGGUUUCCCCCGGGGACGGGCCCGAAAGGCAGCGGCGGCACCGCGUCCGGUCCUCGAGCGUAUGGGGCUUUGUCACCCGCUCUGUAGGCCCGGCCGGCGCCAGCCGACACCCAACUUUAUUUCUAAGGUCGACCUCGGAUCAGGUAGGGAUACCCGCUGAACUUAAGCAUAUCAAUAAGCGGAGGA
rnacentral:misc_RNA from 1 species